GCAAGUCGAAAGCUAGUUUACUAGCUUGGCAAACGGGAGAGUAACACAUUGGUAAUCUACCUUGAGGACGAGAAUAACCCGGAGAAAUCCGGAAUAAUACUCGAUAAUAGUGGGGGGUCAUAUGACAUUCCCACUUAAAGCUCCGGCGCCUCGGGAGGAGCCUAUGGCCUAUCAGCUUGUUGGUAGUGUAAAAGACUACCAAGGCUACGACGGGUAGCGGGUGUGAGAGCAUGACC
rnacentral:rRNA from 1 species